GUUGUUGAUAGUUAAUUGAGAUUGAUCCUGUCUUGUUUAAUUUUUAUUGGCUAUUAAUUAGGUAAUAUUAAAUAUAAGUUUUUACGUGUUUUAUAAUUAUGUCUAACUACUGUUAAUUUAUUAGUUGUAGUUUUUAAUUU
rnacentral:rRNA from 1 species